rnacentral:lncRNA from 1 species
CUCUAAUAUCUCUCUCUCUCUCCAAUAAUCUUGUGAAUAUAUUCAUCCAAAUUUCCACUCUCCAAUCUCUCCAAUGGCAAUGAAGAGGUGGUGGAAUAGGUAGAGGGCAAACACCCCUUUGGAAACAGUUUGCAGGCAGCACAGGAAGGGCAAGACGAAGACCUGAUGAAUUGGGAAGCUGAGUAGGUUUCGGAGCUUGCGGCCCAUGCAAAAUAAUUGGAUCCAACAGAGGAAAAGGCACACCAACAGCAAUACAAGACCCAAAUCACAGGCGAACAGAGGCAAUCAUCUCCCAUUCAAUUGACGGUUCCUACAUUUUUCAAUCAACAAAUUCACAUGGAGAAAAUCAAAUCACACUUAAAUGACAGUGGGUACACAUUUUACUGAUCCAAUUGCUACUCAAUUGCCUUGAAUUUUGAUCCCCAGAGUCACGAUUGGGACAGUUCAAUCAAUUGCAAUUUGUGGCCAAAAAUGGUGGUGGUAUUUCUAGUGGUGGUGGUUUUAGGUUGCAAGAUGGACCCAUUUUUUUCUCUGUUCUCUAUUCUUUGGGGAUUUGAGGUGGUGGCAACGAGUUUUGAGGUUUUUGGUUAGGUUGUGGUUGUGGUGGAGAUGGAGGUUGUGAUUGUUGGUGGUUGUGGUGAGGUGUUGGUCUUGUCCCUUGUGGAUUUGAGGUGGUAGCGAUGGCGAGUUUGGGUUUUUUUUUGUUGGGGUGGUGUUUGUGGUAGAGAUGGAGGUUGUAAAUGUUGGUGGUUGUGAUUUUUGUGGUUGUUUUAUGGUGGUUUGUAGUGGAUUUUAAGGUGGUAAUUAUGGGUCACAUAUUAAUGUUCAUGGGUCAAAGAUUAAGGGGGUGUUUGUUUUCCAUUUUUGUAAAAAUGAGAAAGAAAAAUAUAGUCGUUAUGGAUCCCACACAAAAGAUAAAAAUUCAAAUUUGGUGGCUUGAUGUGAUGGAUAACGGUCAUAUUUUUCAUUUUAAUGAAGAAAUAAUGGAAAACAAACAGGGGCUAAAUAAAAUUGAUCACAAAUCGCUGAUUUAUGUUCAUAGGUUAAUAUUGAUUGGUCACAUGUUAUAGUUUAUAAGUUACAAGUCAUAGGUCAUUAUUAAUCGAUCACGAGUUAUUGUUCAUGGGUAACGCGUUAUAACCCAUAGGUCAUUUAUUGUAUAGGUCACAUAUGUUUCCCUUCACAUUCUUUGACUUUCGACAAUCCUUGGAUCGAUGUCAUGCCUUGUCAUAAUUGUAACAGUUGCCUUUAAACUUGUUAGCAGUUUUUGAAGAACUAGUUUGUCAUUCAUCAUUGUGUUUUCUCUUUUUGCUAGUCUUGAAGCCUCCUUCUACAAUGUUGGCUUUUGAUUCCAUCGAAUGAGAUGCACAAUUC